CGGUUGAUCCUGCCGGACCCGACUGCUAUUUGGGUGAGGAUAAGCCAUGCGAGUUGUAUGGAAUCCCUAAAGUUUCCAUAGCAAACUGCUCAGUAACACAUGAUCAACUUACCCUAUAGAGAAAAAUAACCUCGGGAAACUGAGGAUAAUGUUUCAUAUUUGAAAAGGCUUGGAAAAGUUUUUCAAUUAAAGGGAUAAGAAAAAUGGUUCUUAUCUGCUAUAGGAUAGGAUCGUGGUCGAUUAUGGUUGUUGGUGAGGUAACGGCUCACCAAGCCGAUAAUCGAUAGGGGCCGUGAGAGCGGGAGCCCCGAGAUGGGUACUGAGAUAACGACCCAGGCCUUACGAGGCGCAGCAGGCGCGAAACCUCCGCAAUACACGAAAGUGUGACGGGGUUACCCAAAGUGUUCAUUAUUGAACUGUGGUAGGUGAGUAAUGUCCCCUACUAGAAAGGAGAGGGCAAGGCUGGUGCCAGCCGCCGCGGUAAAACCAGCUCUUCAAGUGGUCGGGAUAAUUAUUGGGCUUAAAGUGUCCGUAGCCGGUUUAGUAAGUUCCUGGUAAAAUCGGGUAGCUUAACUAUCUGUAUGCUAGGAAUACUACUAUACUAGAGGGCGGGAAAGGUCUGAGGUACUACAGGGGUAGGGGUGAAAUCUUAUAAUCCUUGUAGGACCACCAGUGGCGAAGGCGUCAGACUGGAACGCGCCUGACGGUGAGGGACGAAAGCCAGGGGAGCGAACCGGAUUAGAUACCCGGGUAGUCCUGGCUGUAAACGAUGCAUACUAGGUGAUGGUACGGCCAUGAGCCGUAUCAGUGCCGUAGGGAAACCGUUAAGUGUGCCGCCUGGGAAGUACGGUCGCAAGGCUAAAACUUAAAGGAAUUGGCGGGGGAGCAC
rnacentral:rRNA from 1 species